UGCUUUUAAAAAGGUAUUACAUGUUUACAACUAAUUGAUCACAGCCAGUUAUAGAUUCCUUUGUUCUUUCUCCAUUCCCACUGCUUCAUUUGACCAGCCUCUA
rnacentral:sRNA from 1 species